AUGGGCCGCAGCCGCCUGUGCCCUUCGCCAACGCCCCGCCGCCGCAGCAGCCGUCGUGGCAGCCGCCAUCCUCAGCGACCCCCGUCGCCGCCACCAGCGACAAACCCCGGCGCCUCCACCAUGCAGCAGGGGCAACAGCUGCAGCCGCCGCCACCGGCGAUUGCGGCCCUGGGCAUCCCGACGACGGGCCCGGGGGUGCCCAUCCACCAGGUCCAGUUUCCCCCGUCGUCGUCUCCGUUACCGGUCUGGCUCGCUGGGUCCCUUGAGCCGGUCUACACGACGGCCUCGGUCGGGCCGCACGUGCUGCCCCUGCUGACGACGCACCCGGCCAUGCAGUUUGGCGGGUCCUCGGGCUCCGCCGAGCCCUUCGCCAGCGUCGACGGGCCCUUGUUCCAAGGCGGCACCCUGAUGCUCGCCUAUUUGGCCCCGUCAUCCUCGCUGCUUCGUGCUGACGAGGUGCACCCGCCCGUCGUCCACGUCCAGACGCCGCCGAGAUUCUCCAAGCUGGAGUUCGUGACCUACGACAGCACCGUCGACCCCCUGAAUUGGCUCAACCAAUGCGACCAAGCAGGGGACAGCGCACGCUUGCGUCCGACCGCACCUGGAUCGCCUCGUAUCAUCUUCGAGGAGCCGCACAAACGUGGUACUACGCCCUCGAACAGGAAAAGGGCGGCAUGCCACCAUGGGAGCGCUUCCGCGAUUUGUGCAUCUUGCUUCGGUCCGCCUAUACGCAGGAGCCGUCUGGCGGAGCUUGGGCGUCUUUCGUUCCUCACCUCGGUGCAAGACUUCGCCGACCGCUUCCAGGCCCUGGCGUGCCACGCCCCCGGCGUUUCGGCUCGUCAGCGGGCUGAGCUCUUCGUUGGCGGCCUACCGGGCCACAUCCGCGUGGACGUGGAGAUGCGCGGGCCACAGGACCUUCAGACGGCCAUGUACUACGCCCGCGCGUGGCCAUCCAGCAGGCGCCACCGCCCCGGGCCGCUAGGCCGCCACCCUGGCCGGAAGUUCCCGCCCAAGGUCGGCUUGCCCAGGCUUCCGCGGCGUCCCUUGAGGGUUGUGCUUCAACUGCGACGAGCCCUACGUACCGGGCCAUGUCUGCCAACGACUCUUCUACCUGGAGGCUGCAGACUACAUUGA
rnacentral:rRNA from 1 species